rnacentral:rRNA from 1 species
AAGACCUUGCACUUUUGGAGCGGCCGAUGUCUGAUUAGCUAGUUGGUGGGGUAAUGGCCUACCAAAGCUCCGAUCAGUAGCUGGUCUGAGAGGACGGCCAGCCACACUGGGACUGAGACACGGCCCAGACUCCUACGGGAGGCAGCAGUGGGGAAUUUUGGACAAUGGGCGCAAGCCUGAUCCAGCCAUGCCGCGUGAGUGAAGAAGGCCUUCGGGUUGUAAAGCUCUUUCAGCCGGGAAGAAAAGGUUGCGACUAAUAAUCGCAAUUCAUGACGGUACCGAAAGAAGAAGCACCGGCUAACUACGUGCCAGCAGCCGCGGUAAUACGUAGGGUGCGAGCGUUAAUCGGAAUUACUGGGCGUAAAGGGUGCGCAGGCGGUUUUGUAAGUCAGAUGUGAAAUCCCCGGGCUUAACCUGGGAACU